rnacentral:rRNA from 1 species
CAUAAGAGGCCCAGCCUGCCCAGUGACAAUUUUAACGGCCGCGGUAUCCUAACCGUGCAAAGGUAGCGUAAUCACCUGUUUCUUAAUUAGAGACCUGUAUGAAUGGCACCACGAGAGUCAAACUGUCUCCUUUUUCCAGUCAGUGAAACUAAUCUUCCUGUGAAAAAGCAGGAAUCCUCUAACAAGACGAGAAGACCCUUUGGAGCUUAAGAAGUCUUCAGUUGGGGCAACUACGGAGUAAAAAUAACCCUCCAAGAUGUAACGGAACUUUCCUAAACAAAAAGUCACAGCUUUAUGUAUCAACAAACUGACAUUUUUAGACCCAAUAUUUUGAUUAACGAACUAAGUUACCCUAGGGAUAACAGCGCAAUCCACUCUAAGAGUCCCUAUCGACGAGUGGGCUUACGACCUCGAUGUUGGAUCAAGGUACCCCAGUGGCGCAACCGCUACUAAAGGUUCGUUUGUUCAACGAUUAAAACCUCACGUGAUC